UAGCAUAAAAAAGGUUAUAGUGAGCUAACCUUAAAAGAUACACAUCUGCUGUUGCGGACUUUUUUUAGAACUUUUAAAGGGGAACAAUUCUGUCAUACAUGAUUUAUGCGAAACUUUAACCGUUUACGCAGCGCACGAAACAUUUGAAACAUUCUUCAUUGGUGCUCUGCUCCUUUUGAUCUUAGCGUGAUAAUAUAUAGCCUAUAGCCUAUAUAUAUCUAACACUGUAAGCAUUUUUCAAAUCGGGCCAGUUUUUCCUGAGAUUAGCGCGUUCAAGCAAACAAACAAACAAACUCUUCAGCUUUAUAAUAUUAGUAUCUAUGAUAGCCGAGCCUACAUUACCUACUUGCGAAAUUCAUUUAUUUUGCGAACUAUAGGUACAUUUAUAGAAACAAUAGCGACUGUUGUUAGGCUAUGGAUAACAAAAUGACUAGCGGAGAUGUCAUAAUGCAAAAUCUAUGAAAGUAGCGCCCCAAAAUGCGGGUGUUCGGGGGACGAGGAACGUUACUAGCUCCACCCUUAAACCCCCUCUGUGGAACCCGCCCAUUAUUUUCAAAAUAUAAUCGCCAAACAAUCAAGACCAAUCUUUGACAGAUUGCCUUUGAUUUGUUGUCUCUUUUAUAAUUUGUAUAAAGUUUUAAAAAACAUAGUUAUGUAUCAUAAAUAUUACUUGUCUUUUCUUUAGAUAGCGUAAUUGUAUAUUUUAUUUUACAGAGUCUGAUGAACGAGAUAAUUCGUAUCACUUUAACUGAAUACAAUGCUUUGAGUGCAACAGUGACAUAGCAGUGAUCCGGUUCCGUUUGACGAGUGCUUAGAACUCCUGCUACUCAAAGAUAUGGCCGGUCCUACGCCCAGUCCUUUAUUCCCAACUGGAAAACCUAUCGUCCUUCGUGGAUACGAGCCUGCUCGGCCCCCACCAGAACCCCAGCCCGAAGUACUGCAUUACUUCCUUGUGACCUGCCUACUUAGUAACUGCAAAAACCCCAAUCACCAUGUAUAUUAAGUACCGAGCUUCUGCUGGUCUCCAAGGAGCUACGCUGGAGUCCGGCUGGCAGAUCAGACAGCUGCAUCAACAGUAGCAGAGUACCGGUCGCUGAACGUAACACCCUGGUGCCCAGCUGUCGCCGGUUCCACUGGAUGCCGAACCCAACGUACUUUAGAAACAUUAAUUCUAAGAACUAAGCUUACCUACUUACGGCCGAUCUCAAUACUCGAUCUAUCUAUUUUAGCUUACACACUGCUUGACAGGUAUUUAACAUACUACUGAAGGACUAAUGUCUACAUUCUAUCUCCAGUAAGUAAGUCAACAGAUGGAUAAAAUAUUGGGAUCGACCGCAAGAAUGCUUGAUAAUCCUUUUUGUCUGAUAUGAUAUGGUUUUCUUCCAUGAAGUCGUCUUCACGAGAAAGCAUGCCUUGUCAUCGCAUUCUGCUUGAGCCCACCGCGCAAGAGAGGGUGUAAAACCAGCUAUGUAGAAGCAUAAGAAUCGGGUUUAGGCGUCUUGUUAACGAUAACGGAUGAUAGUUCGUUUUUUGUAAGGGCGACUGUUCAAUAAGUUAGUAUAGUAACUAUUAUAUAAUCUGUGGUAUAGGUGAUUGUGAACGCAACUUCUAUAUCUAUUGCUACGAAACUACGCGUCGAAGCCCAUCGCGUUAGCAAAUUCCUACAUUAAGCCGUUGUAUCAUCAUCAUCAUCAUCUCAGCCAUAGGACGUCCACUGCUGAACAUAGGCCUCCCCCUUAGAUCUCCACAGAUACCUGUUGGAGGCGACCUGCAUCCAGCGUCUUCCGGCGACCUUUAUAAGGUCGUCUGUCCACCUUGUAUACGCAAGACAAUUGAUAUUCUAGCAAAAUCAAAAAUCGGUUAUUCAAAGUUGGCUGAAAAACAGCACUUUUUCAGGUCAGAAUUACAUGAGACAGCUCCAAAAUCACUUCGUAUUAUUAUUAGCGACAUACCAGCAGUCAAUCUAUUGUUAUAAAAAUCGUUCCGUCACAUCGUCCGUUGUCGUCAACAAGAGGCCUCAGUGGUCUUAUUAUGACGUAUCUAUAUAUAUUCCACUUCAUGACGUUAGUAUGUAAGAUAUCUACCGUAGACCGUAAACGGACACAUUAAAAAAUCUUUGUCGAGUUCUCAAUACCUACCUGUGUAUGUAGGUUCAUGAUCAGUGAUAUGUCAGUAUUAAUAUUCUCAUUUAAUCAUAAUAAACUAACUUAUACCCUUUCAUUACCUAUAUAUCGAUAUAACAUGUGUAACUUAUAGUUCUAACAUUCUUAACCUAGAUCUGGUAAAAAUAGAUUGUAAGGUAUAACUCAGUUAUUCGCAAUUUAGUUUUAGUAGCUCUUAUUAACAGUUACAAGUAGACAUUUUAUUUUCACCAAUAGCAGCUUGAUCGUCAUGAUUUAGCAAUUUUCUGUGAAGAUAAAACCUAUUUAUAAAAUUCACUUCGUCUAAUAGAUCUGUGGUAAUUUGUCUUAUUGUUUACCCUUUUAUGAAUGCUCAAUAAAAUGAAAAUUCUGCCAUC